rnacentral:rRNA from 1 species
UACGGAGGGUGCAAGCAUUAAUCGGAUUUAUUGGGCGUAAAGGGCGCGUAGGCGGUAAUGGAAGUCAGAUGUGAAAUCCCGGGGCUCAACCCCGGAACAGCAUUUGAAACUCUAUUUCUAGAGGAUUGGCGGAGAAAACGGAAUUCCACAAGUAGCGGUGAAAUGCGUAGAGAUGUGGAAGAACACCGGUGGCGAAGGCGGUUUUCUAGCUUAUUCCUGACGCUGAGGCGCGAAAGCUAGGGGAGCAAACAGG